rnacentral:misc_RNA from 1 species
AAAGUUCCAUUAGUAGCUUUAACCCUGCAAACAACAGGUUACAUAGUCAAAAGCAAGCCCCACAAACCAACACACAAAUUCCCCAAUAACCAACCACCCAUUUAGAAUAAUAACAAAAAAGUGAUCUUGAUGAUAGCAAUUAGUGAUCUGUUUAUGAAACUAAACGACGAGUUCAUUACCAAAUGAGAAUAAAAAAAAUCCUAAUUAAGGAUGUCAACAAAUUAUGCUAAAAUCACUUCUAAUAGAAGCUGCAUGGAAGUGCCUACUGCUCAGAGGCAAACAUCGGAAUUUGAUCACAGGCAUUCACAGACUGAUGUUCAAAUGUUGCCUUCAUUUGAGCUUCUAAGGAUUAAACAGACAGAUCAAGCAAGCUAUGCCCUAUUUCAGAAUCUGUAAAUACCAUUUCUUAAAUCUCAAUUUGACACAGCGCCUGAAUAAUAAUAAUAAUAAUAAU